rnacentral:tRNA from 1 species
ACUUAUAUAGUAUAUUCAUUAUACUUGGCUUCCAACUAAAAGAUCUAAAUUAAUUAGUAUAAGUA